rnacentral:rRNA from 1 species
GGCCUCUAAUCGGAAAAGACCACCCGCUGAGUUUAA